rnacentral:pre_miRNA from 1 species
AUCAAUAUCACUUGAGGAUCUUUUAAAAUGCAGUUUCUGAUUCAGUAAAUUAGAAAUGGAGCUUGGAAUUUUGAGUUUUUAACAAGCUUGGAUGUGAUGAUGAU